ensembl:lncRNA
AGGGGGUUAGGGUUAUGGGACAGGGGGUUAGGGUUAUGGGACAGGGGGUUAGGGUAAUGUGACAGGGAUUUAGGGUUAUGGGACAGGACAAGGGGGUUUAGGAUUGUGGGACAGGGAGAUAGGGUUAUGGGACAGUUGGUUAGGGUCAUGGGACACGUAUUUAGGGUUAUGGGACAGGGAGAUAGGGUUAUGUGACAGGGGUUUAGGGUUAUGGGACAUGAGGUUAGGUUUUAGGGUUAUGGGACAGUGUGUUAGGGUUAUGGGACAGGGGUUUAGGGUUUAGGGUUAUGGGACAGGGGGUUAGGGUUAUGGGACAGGGGGUUAGGGUUAUGGGACAGGGGGUUAGGAUUAUGGGACAGGGCUUUAGGGUUAUGGGACGGGGUGUUAUGUUUAUG